AGAUUGUUUGUUGUUAACGUUGUAAGUUGGUAAACGAAUGUGAUGAUUCUCAGACAUUUCGUGAACCUUUAUAUACAAAAAUUUUGGUUCAUUCUCAUACCAUUGGCGAUAAAAGGGUAUACCAUUUUAUUUACUUCAAAAAGGAGGAGAAAAGCAUUUGAUUAUUUACCAACGUCAAUGGUUUAACGUUCAUUAGCUGUUCACUUAGCUUUCGAUUAAGAUGGUAAAGAUCAAGAUUAAUCUUACUGACCAAGUAAUCAACAUUUUCGCACUGACUUUGGCGAAUAAUUCAACGCUUUUCUCCGCCUCUUUUGGAUUGGAUUAAACAGAACACCCUGUACUCUCUCAUCUUCAUCAAUCUUUCUCUUCAUUCGCACUUAAUUGUUGACUCUAACUUUGGUAAAUAAAGGAGAAGAAUGUUGAAAUUAAUUGAAUGGUGAGAUUUGAAGGGAAAGGUUAAUCAUCAGUAAUCAGACUGUACCUAAAUUAAAACCUGUUUGCUAAUUUUCAAAGUUAUUAUCAUCACUGUUAAUGCUUUUUUAGCUUUUCUUGAAUCACUUUCGCUUGUUUGCCUUAGUAAAGGCUUUAAUAUGGUCAAUAAAAAUCUAGUCAAUUGACGUUGAUUAUUGUUAAUCGCAGCCAUCAUCAUGUUAAUUAUAUUCAAUUGCAACCUUUUCUUAUAAUAUACUAAUUAAUUUUUGUAAUAAUUUCGCCUGCAAAUCGUGAUGAUUCGUUUUUUAACAAAAAUUCAAAAUGUUAGCCCACAAAAGUGCAAACCCUCGAGACAUGUUUUCAAAAAUGGAGGCUUACAAUGGUGCCUAUGGUUACCGUUUUAGCUUUUUAUAUUAACAUUAUCAUUACAUUAAAUCAAUUUUCGUACAAUUGCUAAUUUUUAUCUCUUUAUUUUUGUUCAAAAUUAACUCAACCUGUUUUUCUAGUUGUUUUGAUUCCAUUUAAAAAUAGCAUUGGAUUAUCACAAAGAAACAGAACAGAGAUUUGAAAGCUCUUGUGAGAUGGAAGUCCGUUACCUUUUGUUUUCGUCAAGCCUUCUCCUACGCGCCAGUGUUACACUAUUAAUGUUGCCAAUAAUAUUUAUUUUUCAAUCAACUAUUGAUUGAUUCAUGGUCGAAUCCAGCAUUGACCAAUCGUCCUUAGAUCAAAUUUUAUCAAUUGUUAAUUUAAAGCUUUUGUUGUUGAUAUUUAGAUUAAGAUAGCCUUAUCCCUGGCCUUACAUCGAUUGCAAUUACUGGCCAGUUGAGUUAAUUGACAUUGGAUGAUUCUAGAAAUUCAACAAUUGUUUUCAAGACUAUGGUAAAAUUGAAAGUGGAUUCAAAAAUAGAAUUAUCAACUUGUGAGUGUUCAAAUUAAAGCUGUUUAAAUAUGAUGAAUAAUAAUUCUGUUUACUUCGUAACUAUGAAAAUGGGACACUUUAGGAAUAGGACAUUAAAUUUGCCAUUUUUUGAAUGUUUCUAUUAUACAAUCCAUUGUUGAGUAAUCUAUGAGGCACAUCUCAAAAAAGUAUCGCAUUUGCAGUCGCAAGUUUUGAAUAUCUGCAAUUUUGGCCAUCAAUCGAUAAUGGUAGUCUGAGGCAACACACGGUGAUUUACAAUUCAUUUCCAAAUAUCGUCGUAAAAUGUAAAUGUAAGUGUAUUGCUCUAGUCUGUGAAAGAAAAUAAAAUUAAUAUUAGAUUAUUAAAUAUUGAUUAAAACAUAA